rnacentral:rRNA from 1 species
CCCUUAGAUGUUCUGGGCCGCACGCGUGCUACACUGAGUAAUUCAAUGGGUAAGGGAACGCUAGAGCAUUACCUAAUCUUGAAAUUUGCUCGUGAUGGGGAUCGACGGUUGCAAUUUUCCGUCGUGAACGAGGAAUACCUUGUAGGCGCAUGUCAUCAUCAUGCGCCGAAUACGUCCCUGCCCUUUGUACACACCGCCCGUCGCUGCAACUGAUUGGGUGACCUGGUGAACAUCUUGGACCGGCCCACUCAAUUUCGAGAGGACUGGAAAAGGCCGUAAAUCAGGUACAUCUAGAAAUUGCAAAAGUCGUAACA